UACAAAGGGGGCUAGCGUUGUUCGGAAUUACUGGGCGUAAAGCGUGCGCAGGCGGCUUCUCAAGUCAGGGGUGAAAGCCCAGAGCUCAACUCUGGAAUUUGCCUUUGAGACUGAGUGGCUUGAGUACGGAGAGAGGUGAGUGGAAUUCCCAGCGUAGAGGUGAAAUUCGUAGAUAUUGGGAAGAACACCAGUGGCGAAGGCGGCUGACUGGACAUGUAUUGACGCUGAGGUGCGAAAGCGUGGGGAGCAAAC
rnacentral:rRNA from 1 species